GAUCCUGGCUCGAGACGAACGCUGGCGGCGUGCCUAAUACAUGCAAGUCGAGCGGACCAAAGGGAGCUUGCUCCUGGAGGUUAGCGGCGAACGGGUGAGUAACACGUGGGCAACCUGCCUGUAAGACUGGGAUAACAUCGAGAAAUCGGUGCUAAUACCGGAUAAUAAAAAGAACUGCAUGGUUCUUUUUUGAAAGAUGGUUUCGGCUAUCACUUACAGAUGGGCCCGCGGCGCAUUAGCUAGUUGGUGAGGUAACGGCUCACCAAGGCGACGAUGCGUAGCCGACCUGAGAGGGUGAUCGGCCACACUGGGACUGAGACACGGCCCAGACUCCUACGGGAGGCAGCAGUAGGGAAUCUUCCGCAAUGGACGAAAGUCUGACGGAGCAACGCCGCGUGAGUGAUGAAGGUUUUCGGAUCGUAAAACUCUGUUGUUAGGGAAGAACAAGUGCCGUUCGAAAGGGCGGCACCUUGACGGUACCUAACGAGAAAGCCACGGCUAACUACGUG
rnacentral:rRNA from 1 species